UACAGAGGUCUCAAGCGUUGUUCGGAAUUACUGGGCGUAAAGGGCGCGCAGGCCGCGCGGGCAGUCAAAUGUGUAAUUCAGGGGCUCAACCCCUGCACUGCGCUUGAUACUUCCGCGCUCGAGCUUUGGAGAGGAGUCUGGAAUUCUCGGUGUAGCAGUGAAAUGCGUGGAUAUCGAGAAGAACACUUAGGGCGAAGGCAAGACUCUGGACAAAUGCUGACGCUCAUGCACGAAGGCUAGGGUAGCGAACGGG
rnacentral:rRNA from 1 species